UUUAAAAUCAGAAGUGGAUGGGUGUUGAAGAUUUCAAAAUGCAGCUCAUUCAGUUAAAAGGCUCAGAAUUGUGGGCAUCAAAGUUUGGAGAUCUGCGGCAUGCACUUGAAGCUACCGGGAGAGAUCAUGGGCCCUCUAUUCUGACCUGCUGGACAU